GUUUUGGUAUAAAGAAUGGAAUAAAUACAAUUUAAGAAUAUGUAACAGACAUUGCCUGAGUAGAGCGAAGAUGAUAUCAUUGCUGUUAAAUAUAAAACCUUCAUAAUUAAUUUUCUCAAAUGAUACAAGUAAUGUUAAUGUAUGACAACAAAAAAUUCAAAAAUCCCGUAUGGCUUUAAUUCUGUUAUUUUUGGAUAGAGCUGUCCAACAGCUUUACAAUGACACCAAAAUGAGCUUGAAAGGCCCAAUAUUAAUGGAGUUAUGCCAAAUUAAUUGUCGCUAAUUAACACUCUUUUUGUCUGAAGAACAAAGAAGGACAAGUGAGGUAGCGUGUGCCAACCGAAAAAGGGACGUAACUCUUUUUUCUUAAUUGGCUGUCACAAAUAUGGCGCUAUUUUUUCGCGAAAAGCUAGCCUUGCAUUACGGCCUCGUGUUGGUUACCUGCAAUCGAUACCGGUUCCAUUCAACCGAAAACAGUUAGUUAAGAGGUCAAGGUUGCUCCGCAUGCAAAAUUUAUCACUCGUAGCAAGGUAAGAAUAUUUUUUUUCUCCGAUUGAAAAGUUUGAAAUUUUGUAACUUUUUUCGUGGAAGAUGCAGAGCGAAAAAAAACCUGCUCAAAUAUGGAUUAAAUAUCCCUUUAUAAGAUCCAUCUUCAUUUAUUUCCAUAAGUGGACGUGAACAUUGGUAAAAUUCAAUUUUUCUCCAUGUGACCGAAAUUCUGUCGGCCAUAUUGUAAUGGCGGGGGCGUGUCAAAUGUACCGUUAGACACCCGUUAGCUACACACGUGCUAAUAAUGAGUGAUCAUAGGAAGAAUUUUAACCUUCUAAGACUUUGCAGUUGAUUUUUUUACGAAAACAAACAUAGCUCAGAAUUGUAUGGUAUAAUAAAGCCCAAUAAAAAAAAAGAAAUAAAGAGUACUUUUCUAUAUUUUUAUUUUUAGGUUUUUUUUUUUAAUUAUUGAGAAAUGGAUUUUUACUAGUAGUUCUGAAGAGACAUUACCCCCAACCGAAGAACUAGUAGAAGACACAUUGGAAUGUGGACAGAAGCUAAGCGAUGAGAGUACUAGCAAAGAGUCAGAGACUUCCUCCGAAAUUGAUUCCCCAAGUUUACCCAAAUAUAGAUGUUACUCUUUUCAUUACCGCUGUCCACGAGAACAUGGAUAUUUCAUAGCUGUCCACGAGAACAUGGAUAUUUCAUAGCUGUCCAUGAGAACAUGUUUCCAGUUUCCAUUUAAUCAUCAAAAAACAAUUUCCACUAUUUUUAAUGAUUUUUUUUUAUAGUUAUUAUUUUUAUGUUUUUUCGGAACAAAAUAUGUCCGAUUUGCUUUAAAUUUUGUCAAAAUAAAAGGUAAAAACAAUAUUUUUGUGGUUGAUUUUAGUAAAUGUGUGUCUCUAGAACAUCUGUGUACAAUUUGAGUCUGUUCCAAAGUCAUUCAGUUAGUCAAAAUAUUAUUUUUUCAAUUUUGCCUGUUUUUGACGGAUUUUGGGAAAACGCUGCUUACGUAUGGGUAUAUAAAAUUA